UACGGGGGGGAGCAAGCGUUAUUCGGAAUUAUUGGGCGUAAAGGGCGCGUAGGUGGCUUGGCAAGUGGAAGGUGAAAUCCUUCGGCUCAACUGAGGAACUGCCUUCCAGACUGCUUUGCUUUGAGGCCGGGAGAGGCGAGUGGAAUUCCCAGUGUAGCGGUGAAAUGCGUAGAUAUUGGGAGGAACACCAGUGGCGAAGGCGACUCGCUGGACCGGUUCUGACGCUGAGGCGCGAAAAGCGUGGGGGAGCAAACAGG
rnacentral:rRNA from 1 species